GAGCGGGCACCGCAAGGUGUCAGCGGCAGACGGGAGAGUAACACGUGGGAACGUGCCCUUCAGUUCGGAACAACCCAGGGAAACUUGGGCUGAUACCGGAUACGUCCGUAAGGAGAAAGAUUUAUCGCUGAGGGAUCGGCCCGCGUCUGAUUAGCUAGUUGGUGGGGUAAUGGCUCACCAAGGCGACGAUCAGUAGCUGGUCUGAGAGGAUGAUCAGCCUCACUGGGACUGAGACACGGCCCAGACUCCUACGGGAGGCAGCAGUGGGGAAUAUUGGACAAUGGGCGCAAGCCUGAUCCAGCCAUGCCGCGUGGGUGAUGAAGGCCCUAGGGUUGUAAAGCCCUUUCGGCGGGGAAGAUAAUGACGGUACCCGCAGAAGAAGCCCCGGCUAACUUCGUGCCAGCAGCCGCGGUAAU
rnacentral:rRNA from 1 species